rnacentral:rRNA from 1 species
GAAGAAAGAGGGAGGCGUGCUUAACACAUGCAAGUCGAACGGUGAAGCGCCUUCCUUUUUGGUGGGUGUGGAUGAGUGGCGAACGGGUGAGUAACACGUGAGUAACCUGCCCCCUUCUUCUGGAUAACCGCAUGAAAGUGUGGCUAAUACGGGAUAUUCUGGGUCUGUCGCAUGAUGUUUCUUUUAAAUAUAUUUUUUCUUUUUUUUAUUGGCUCGCGUCCUAUCAGCUUGUUGGUGGGGUGAUGGCCUACCAAGGCGGUGACGGGUAGCCGGCCUGAGAGGGUGGACGGUCACACUGGGACUGAGACACGGCCCAGACUCCUACGGGAGGCAGCAGUGGGGAAUAUUGCACAAUGGGCGCAAGCCUGAUGCAGCGACGCCGCGUGAGGGAUGGAGGCCUUCGGGUUGUGAACCUCUUUCGCCAGUGAAGCAGGCCUGCCUCGUUUGUGGGUGGGUUGACGGUAGCUGGAGAAGAAGCGCCGGCUAACUACGUG